rnacentral:lncRNA from 1 species
AACUAACCCCAUGCCUAGUCAAUUGCCUAUUAAAGUUUCAGAUCUCUGGACUGAAGGAAAGGAAUGGGAUAAUCAGAAGCUCAACGCUUUAUUUGAAGAGGAGGCUAUUCACAAAAUUUUACAGGUCCCAAUUAUACAAGGAGAUGCAGAGGAUAAGUUACGCUGGAAAUUCAUUAAGAACGGGGUCUGCAACACUAAAAGCGCCUACAAGGAGUUCUACAAAGGAGAGAAUCCCUCUACACAUCAGGUUGAUCCCCAUUCUAUUGCUUUGCUUAAAACUGUCUGGAAGGAAAAAAAUAUUCCCCCAAAAGUUAAAGUGUGUGGUUUUUCUGAUGGACAACGCCACUAUUGUGGAUGCAGUCAAAAGGAACAAUUUGAAGGAGGAUCCUGGACACUGGAGUUUGAUUCCUUUUUGAUUAUUGCUUCUACUCCUGUUGAUAUGAUGCAGGUCAACUGGAUCCCAAGGGAAAUGAAUAAGAUGGCAGACAAACUCUCAAAAGAAGCAAAGUCCUUAACCAGGAGGGACUUAGUUCACAACUGUCAGAAUAUUUCUCACGUUGCUUAUCCAAAUAGGGAUUGUUAUGCAAGAAUCUUGAAAGAUCAUUUCAAAUCCACUAAUUGUAAAGUCAAAUAUAUUCUCUGUUUCUAA